rnacentral:lncRNA from 1 species
AUGGCAUAUUUGCAGCAGAAUGGCAUCCAGAAAUCAUUGUAAUUGUGCCAGUAUUUCAUGCGCUUAUUUAAGAGUAUUUUCUGUUCAAGGAUUUCAAAACACUUCUCUAAUGGUACGGAGAAAAGUCAACAUGGUAGAGAAGUAGGGGGACUCAAAUUUCCCUUGUCUCUCAAACACAGCAAUGUUGAGGCCAGAAGACUUGGAAUUCCAGGAAUGUGGACUACAAAUGACAGAAACAUCUCCAGGGGCCAUGUGGACAACUUGGCAGGCCAUAGCAAGCUGGGGCAAGUUCAUCUAACACCUCCUUUGAAGACCAGCAGAUGUUUCAUAAAGGGUCUAUACGUGGGAGGUCUAAGUACAGAGCUUGACUGUGAACUUUCAUCAAGGGUAUCACUGUGCUAGAGAUCCCCGUGGGAUCCCAGACCAGCAUAAUCAGCAGCACACGGUAGCCCGUUAGAAAUGUCAAUUCUUGGGGCGCCUGGGUGGCGCAGUCGGUUAAGCGUCCGACUUCAGCCAGGUCACGAUCUGCGGUCCGUGAGUUCGAGCCCCGCUUCAGGCUCUGGGCUGAUGGCUCGGAGCCUGGAGCCUGUUUCCGAUUCUGUGUCUCCCUCUCUCUCUGCCCCUCCCCUGUUCAUGCUCUGUCUCUCUCUGUCCCAAAAAUAAAUAAACGUUGAAAAAAAUUAAAAAAAAAGAA